GCGGGAGUGGUGGAAUUGGCAGACACGCAGGUUUUAGGUACCUGUGUCUUCGGACGUGCGGGUUCAAGUCCCGCCUCCCGCA
rnacentral:tRNA from 4 species